rnacentral:rRNA from 1 species
UACGUAGGGUGCGAGCGUUAAUCGGAAUUACUGGGCGUAAAGCGUGCGCAGGCGGUUUUGUAAGCCAGAUGUGAAAGCCCCGGGCUUAACCUGGGAAUGGCAUUUGGGACUGCAAGGCUUGAGUGCGGCAGGGGAGACUGGAAUUCCUGGUGUAGCAGUGGAAAUGCGUAGAUAUCAGGAGGAAUACCGAUGGCGAAGGCAGGUCUCUGGGCUGACA